GUGAAGCGACAAAAAUAUUCUUCACUUAUUUUUUCAAAAGCAUUUUUGUUUUUUCUCUCACCCGCUUUAGUUACUGUAGCAAUGCCUCCUUUGUCUCUGUUUUCUUCGUCUUCUUCAUGUUUCUAUCGUCGCCGCCAUUAGCGCCUCCGAUGAUUCACGCCACCACGCCAUUCGCGUUUCCAUGACAGAGAUCUAUCGCCUCAAGAUUAUGGUUAGUACCAGAGGUUUGGAUCGGACUUUAGGAAAGGUUAUAGGAAGAGUUCUAGGAAGAGAAGUCAGUGGUGAUGCAGAUGAAGUCCCCUAGCUAUUGUUGAGGAUGUUCAACAUGUGGAUCACACAGAUGAUGAUGUCCAUGAACAACUUGAAGAAGCAACUGUUGAUGAUGUAGUUACUGAUGUCGAGGGUUUUCCAGGCGGGUCUCACAACACAUCAAUUUUGAUGGACUAUGUUUAUCAUGUGGCAACGAAAAUUUGGAAUGGAGAUGUAUUUUUAUUUUUAAAUAAAUAAUAUUUUCGUAAC